rfam:Nocardioides luteus strain BAFB contig00014, whole genome shotgun sequence.
GGGGCUGAUCGGUUUCGACUUGGGACGUUGCUCCCAGGGGAAGCGGGUCGAGGAGCCAGCGUCAUCUCGUAAACGAUCGCUGGAAACCAAUAACUGCCAACGCUAAGCGCAGUUCCUUCGCUCUCGCCGCCUGACGCGGUGAUCGAAGCGUCUGACCGAGUAUCCGUCUCCGGCUCGGAUCCAGGCGUCAUCUAGGAGACUCCACCUCAUGCACAUGCCGACGGGGCAUGAGGGACAUCUAGUCGGCUGAGCCUGUCGGGGACGUGUCUGCGUCGAGCCCCGGGGAUGAGAGAACGCCACCCACAGACUGCACCCGGAGAAGACCUGGCACGGCGCUCGAGGACCGGGGUUCGAUUCCCCGCAGCUCCACUC